UGCCAGCAGCCGCGGUAACACGUACUGUGCGAACGUUAUUCGGAAUCACUGGGCUUAAAGGGUACGUAGGCGGUUUAUCAAGUCAGGUGUGAAAUGCCUGAGCUCAACUGAGGCACUGCGCUUGAAACUGAUAAACUAGAGUAUUCCAGAGGUGUGCGGAACUGCCAGUGGAGCGGUGAAAUGCGUUGAUAUUGGCAGGAACACCGGAGGCGAAGGCGGCACACUGGGGGAUAACUGACGCUGAGGUACGAAAGCCAGGGUAGCGAACGGGAUUAGAUA
rnacentral:rRNA from 1 species